rnacentral:rRNA from 1 species
CGCGGUAAUACGUGGAAGACUAGUGUUAUUCAUCUUUAAUAGGUUUAAAGGGUACUUAGACGGUAAAUUAAGCCCACAAAGGGUACUAAUUAUACUAGAGUUUUAAGAGGAGGGUGUAGAGAUGAAAUUCAGUCAUACCAUUAUCAGGCAACGGCGAAAGCAACCUUUAGAAAAACUGACGUUAAAGGACGAAGGCUUUGUGUCACCAACAGGAUUAGAUACCCAAGCAGUCUUAGCAGACAAUUAUGAAUGCCAUAGGUUUUUGUCUAUAAAUGAAAGUGUAAGCAUUCCACCUCAA